AUGCCACCAGACAGAGACAUUGAGUUCUUGAUUGAACUUUUGCCAGGCACGGGGCCAAUAUCUAAGAGACCGUACAGGAUGCCCGCAAAGGAUUUGGAGGAAAUUAAGAAGCAGAUCAAGGAGUUACUGGAUAAAGGCUAUAUUCGCCCAAGUUCGUCACCUUGGGGAUCCCCAGUACUUCUAGUGGAGAAGAAGGAUGGAUCACUAAGGAUGGUUGUUGAUUACCGUGGAUUGAAUGAAGUGACCAUCAAAAACAAGUACCCACUGCCGAUGAUCAAUGAUUUGUUUGACCGCUUACAAGGAGCUAAAGUAUUUUCCAAGAUCGAUCUACGAUCAGGAUACCAUCAGUUAAAGAUUCGAGAGCAGGAUAUACCCAAGACAGCUUUUACCACCAGAUACGGAUUGUAUGAGUAUACCGUUAUGUCAUUUGGACUGACUAACGCACCUGCCUAUUUCAUGAACCUGAUGAACAAAGUGUUUAUGGAGUUUUUGGAUAAGUUCGUCGUGGUGUUCAUUGAUAAUAUUUUAGUCUUUUCCAAGGAUGAGGAAGAGCAUGAGGAGCAUUUGCGAUUGGUACUUGAGAAGCUGAGAGAACACCAGUUAUAUGCCAAGUUCAGCAAAUGUGAGUUUUGGUUGAAGGAAGUUGGAUUCCUUGGACAUGUUAUUUCUGGAGAAGGAAUAGCAGUAGACCCUGCCAAAGUUGACACAGUGACAAGUUGGGAAUCACCCACGAUAGUUGGAGAAAUCCGGAGUUUUCUUGGACUUGCAGGAUACUACCGGAGAUUUAUCGAGAAUUUCUCAAAGAUUGCUAAGCCCAUGACGGAGCUAUUGAAGAAGGACACCAAAUUCAAUUGGACUGAGGAAUGUGAAGCUAGUUUCCAAGAGUUGAAGAAACGAUUGGUUACCUCACCAGUGUUGAUUCUACCAGAUCAACGCAAGGACUAUGAAGUCUAUUGCGACGCUUCUCGUCGAGGACUUGGAGCAGUGCUUAUGCAGGAAGGAAGAGUUGUGUCGUAUGCUUCACGACAACUU
rnacentral:rRNA from 1 species